CGGGUGGACUAGUAAGUGAUCCCUCUGCUCGUACGUCCUCCUCACACUGUUCGCUGCGCGGUCGCCUUGGAAAGGUGUUUGACUGUGUACCAGACGCUUCCGGGUAGUAUAUUGUAGAUCUACCGAAGGUCUUGGCUGAAAGACGCCGUGCGAACGCUGUGCGAACGCUCUCACUGUCUCUUGGAAGACUCGUAAGGUAACAAUAUAUAUAUAAUGUAAUGUAACGUAUUGUGUAUGUAUGUUUAUAGUAAUUCAAUCUACUAUAAUAUGACCAUGUCACAUUGUAAAUCCUAUGCAUGUGAACUAUGCUUGUGUGUGAUUUCAUGUAGGUUUGCGUACGGGGAUGUAACCAGGGAGUCCCAUUCCCAUUUAGGUUGAGUGUUGUAUUCGGAGAGGUAAAAGGAAGUCUUAGCUAUUGCAUCUGAUGCACCCCUCAUUGAUACUUGUUUAGAAUGUAAACAAUGGAUUUUAACUGUGUUUGCUUGUAUCUUCAGAAAGAUUGUCACUGCUGCUUUGCCUCCGGUGAAUUUAAUGUAUGCGUAGCUCUUGCCUCAUUUUGUUUUCUUUAUUUUGUUAUUUUGCUUGCUCAUUUGAUUCGGCCUAAACAUAGGCGUGGCUCAUGAUUAUAUUAUCUGCCCUCUUCUCUGUGUGUCAGUAAUAGGUGUGGUAUUGGCUGCCCCAGUAGUCUGCUGUGGUAAUGUACGGUGUUAAUGCUAACAUCUAGUUUUGCUUAUUCUUGACCCAACCAGUUAGGCUUAACUACAACACAAGUCUCUCCUUCUCCCUUCCAGAGAAACAGAGUGUUGAAGCUGUUCCGUGGGGCAGGUCGCUGAUUCUGAGUCCUCCUCUUCGCGCAUUUCACACAGUAUUUGUAGUGGUAACGUGCACCUCACUAUUUGCAGUGAUCACUCUUUGUAGUACCUGUGCCUUUGAGUAUGUGCGUGUGUAUGUUUGUGUGAAUAGGCAACAGCAUCAGCAACACGGGUGGUGUGUCGGUCUCACUCCUCUUCCAGGACAGGUAACCUCUCCCUAACAGCUGAUUCAUUGGAACCAUUGAUUGCUCGUAUUCUCAUAUAUCUGGUGGCAGCCACUACCUCCCUCUUGCUGGCCUAAUAGGCCCAAUAUGCGUAUCCCUACGUAUACUGAGAAAUAAAACUCCAUAUUGCUUUUUA